CAUCCCUUCUCUCUUCAUUCACAACCUUCAUAACCCACCAUUGUACGGGAUUUAGAUCUUCCUUGUUUUUUCCUCUCCGGUACUCUCGGAUCUGAGAGAGAAUCGGAGAGGAAAAACAUGAGAGGAUAUAAAUCCCCAUAGCAUGAUAGGGUUAAGCAAUAGCCGCUGCUGUAGAUCUAGAACUAGAAUUCUAUAUGUCAUCACAAAAUCUCAAUGUUUUUAAAUUUUCUUUUUGUUUGUUGAAUUUGCCUCACUACACCUUUAGCUUGUUUUCAAAUAUUUGCCAUGAAAAUCAAAGCUAGUCAUAGAGGCACAAAUCGAUUCUUUAGCGGUUUUCACGUGGUGGUUUUAACCUUUCAAUGUUUAUGCCUCUAAAAAAAUCCGCCACAUUAUUUAUACACUUCUAAGAUUUUUCAUUUUUUUUUGUGAAACCCUAAAUUUUGGCUAUGAUUAUAUAUUAUCCGCGCUUCUGAGUUUUUCUAUGAAGUAUAUCGGAAUAAAUGGUUGAAUUUCUUAAUAUGAGCCAAAUUUUAAUGUUUUUUGUUUAGUUUGUUUUAGCUAGUUUGAUCUUCAGAGCAGCCAAAUUGGAUAUAAUCACCUAAGCCUUGGUUGUUAUUACAAUUUGGUGUUUUGGAUCCAAGCCCCUGUUUACAGGGAGAACCUACUUGGUGAAGAUACAUUCAUAUGACAUUAAUGGAUUGAAUGAGGCUUUGAUUAUUGAAAGUUUAAUACUAUCUUUGUUUUACCAUCAAUACUCUAAAUGCUAAUUAUAAUUUGGAUCAUAUUUCUUUGUUUGAUUGUUGAAAAUAUCUUUAUCUUUGUUUUACUAUAAAUACAUGCUUAACAUUGUGAGGGUUAAUAUAUAUGUACUUCUUUGUUUGUUUUAAGUAAUCUUAGUACUAGAUGAGUUUUGGUUAGCUAAAUUGUGUUUUUGUCUACUACCAAUGAUGUUUUUUAACAAUCCAACUUGUUUGAGGUUGUAGUAUACCCAAGAUCCUGUUUAUCAGGGUGAACCUACUUGGUGUUGCUACAUUUCCAAUGACAUAAAGAGAUUAAACUGAGAUUCACUAGUCUUAUUAUUUGUUACUUUUGAAUUUAGCAUUGCCAUAUUUAGCAUUUCCAUUUAGCUUUAUUGAGUUUCAACUAUACUCUUUUCCUUUUUAAUUUGGUUUAGAGUCUGAAAAAACUCAUAGAUUUAGUGUUGUCUAUCAGCUUCAUCUUUUGUUACCACGAGAAUGGAGACAAAUAACAGCACAACAUUUCUUAAUAAGUAGAUUGCAACAUAUAUAAUUUGGAGUAUUUUGAAUAUAGGGGUUGCUGUGAUGAUUAUAAACAAUUCCUCGUACUGAAUGCCAUUGACAUGGCAUGAUAGACACUUUACACCCAUAGAAUAUGAGCAUCACCCCCUUUCUAUAUAGGAGUUGAUUUUUGUUCUUUGUUUAUGAUUUAUUGGAUUUCAUGACCAUGUACUGGAGUAACAAUGCUGUUUUGUAGAGCAUGAUUUACAUGAAUGUUUUCUCUCUAGCUAACUCCUUAUAUUGAUUGAGUGGUGUUUAAAGCCCUAUCCAAAAUUUAUUGAGAUUGGGGUUACGCACACCUCCAUAUUCUAACAAGUUAUUUUUUUAGCAUGUCAAUGAUUAUUACUACAUAUACUGAGUAUCCUUUUGCAUCAUUCUUGUAUUCUGAGUAUCCUAAGACAUAAAUUUUUGUAAUACCUGUAAUUAGAUUGAAACUUUUUUCUUUAAGCCUUGUAGGAAUUAAUAUCUAGCAAUAUGUGGUAUCAUUGGAUUGUUAUUUUGGUUUUUGGGAUGAUUAUUGAUCCUAGUCUUUUGAGU